rnacentral:rRNA from 1 species
UUUUUGAAUUUGAUUUAAAGUCGGGCCUGCCCACUGAUAUUUUGAAGGGCCGCAGUAUUUUGACUGUGCAAAGGUAGCAUAAUCAUUAGUUUUUUAAUUGAAAGCUGGAAUGAAUGGUUUGAUAAGAAAAUAACUGUCUCAAUUUAAUUUUUUUAGAAUUUUAUUUUUAAGUUAAAAAGCUUAAAUUUUUUUAAAAGACGAGAAGACCCUAUAGAGUUUAAUUUUUUUAAUUUUGAAAGUUUUUCAGAAUUUUAAUAUUUUUAUUAUUAAAAAAAUUUGAUUGGGGUGAUUAAAAAAUUUAAGUAACUUUUUUUAAAUUUUAACAAUAAUAAUUGAUUAAUUGAUCCAUAUAAAUGAUUAUAAGAUUAAAUUACCUUAGGGAUAACAGCGUAAUUUUUUUGGAGAGUUCAAAUCGAUAAAAAAGAUUGCGACCUCGAUGUUGGAUUAAAGUUUAUUUAUGGUGUAGAAGCUAUAAGAUUGAGUCUGUUCGACUUUUAAAACUUUACA